UAAAGGGAGACCAACUAGAGCAGCGGGAAAAAAAGUAAAGACUGUUGUAUCUAGAAUCCCUGGUCGAGCAAGGAAGAAAAGUAGGAAGAAACUUUCAAACUAGAGUUAUGGUUCGAUUAUGGGCUAUUAGCUCAGGUGGUUAGAGCGCACCCCUGAUAAGGGUGAGGUCCCUGGUUCAAGUCCAGGAUAGCCCACCUAACCAAGCCGGGGGGUAUAGCUCAGUUGGUAGAGCGCUGCCUUUGCAAGGCAGAAGUCAGCGGUUCGAGUCCGCUUACCUCCAGGAAAAAGUCCAGACCUCAGCAAUCAGACCUGAAAAAAACAAGUCAGACUGCUGGGAAUCUAUUUUCCAGUAAGAACCUAGAAAACUGCAUAGUCAAAGAAGUAAAAAGUAACUGAAAAGGAUUUAGGUGUAAUUAAACAUCUAACAAAGUCCAGUCAGGUAGAGAAAAAGUGGUCAAGUGAAUAAGGGCUGACGGUGGAUACCUAGGCAC
rnacentral:tRNA from 2 species